rnacentral:rRNA from 1 species
UACGUAGGCAGCGAGCGUUGUUCGGAGUUACUGGGCGUAAAGGGUGUGUAGGCGGUUCUUUUAAGUUUGGUGUGAAAUCUCCCGGCUCAACCGGGAGGGUGCGCCGAAUACUGAGGGACUAGAGUAUGGGAUGGGAAAGUGGAAUUCCUGGUGUAGCGGUGAAAUGCGUAGAUAUCAGGAGGAACACCUGUGGUGUAGACGGCUUUCUGGUACCAUAACUGACGCUGAGACACGAAAGCGUGGGUAGCAAACAGG